CCAUCUUCUUCCUCUCUUUCUUAUUUUCAUCGUUGUUUCCAUGAUUUGUUGCUAAAUUGAGAUUUUCGUAUGGAUUGAUUUAAAGAUUGAUAACGAUUGAACUAGACGUGAGUAUGCACCAUGAUUUUUUUGUGUUUGUGAUUUUAAGAAUUGUGUUUCAGAGUGGUUCAGUUGAUAUUCUGGGUAUUGGUUGAGAUGAGUACACAUCGAUCUAAAAUUCGAAAUUGAUGAUUAACAUUGUUUUAGUGAGUAGAAACGUCUUUGCUUUUGACUUAAAAGUAUCUUUGCUUUGUUUAGGAUGUGCCUGAGUUCCAAUCAUAGUUUCUUUCUAUGGAUUCUUUUGAAUCUAAACCAUUAAAGGGAAAAUUGGCUUCAUUCGCGAGACGCUUGAAGAAAGUGUUCAUUCUGGAAUGAGAUCUUCAUCUCAGGAACUGCUUCUCAUUUAGAAGCAUUGGGUUGUUAAGUGUUAACAGAGGUUUGUUUCUCUGACAUUAUGUUGUUUUGUGUGUUAUUUGUGUAGAAAUACAUAGAUAUUUAUGUUCCCAAAUUCACAUGUCUCUCUUCCUUCAUUCUCUCUUGGAUUACCAUCUUACGUGUGAUUGCCUCAUCUGAAUCAUCUUGCAACACGUAAUGAUGGUGUCAGAUAUGGGAAACAAUUUAUGACUGACGAGCUCAAUAAGCUGUAUGAAUAUGUUCUCAUGGCGGAGAGGUGAAAAAGAGAAUUUUAAUGGCAACAUUAUGCGGGUUACGUACGAUGCAUACUACAAGCGAGCUCAACAACUACAUGUUCUCUUUGGUGUUAAUAUAGGAAUUAUAACAAAUAGAUGUUCUGUUCUGACUCUCUUUAACCAGUUUUGAUUACACAGAACAUAAAGUUGUGUCGUAUGAGCUCUUUUGCAGGUUAAUGUGAUUCUUGUGGGGCUUCCUGCGAUUGUACUACCAUGUGGAUUAGUUGAAGGAGGUUCCUCAGGUCUACUGGUUGUUCUUCAAAUGAUUGGUGAAGCCUUCGAUGAGGAGAAGUUUCUGAAAGUUGGUCACAUAUUUGAACAGACUCUCAGAGGUUCAGGCUUUGUUCUUCCAACGUUACCAAAUGUAGCCUGAACAUGAAGGCUUUGUUUUGUGCGUUUUACUUUCACCCUUUUUUAGGCAAAGCUAAUUAAUUUUGUUUAAAUUCUGUUAUAUUUUUUUAAAGA